rnacentral:piRNA from 1 species
CUCUGGGCUUCAGCUUAGUACAGGC